rnacentral:rRNA from 1 species
GGCGUGCCUGAUAUAUGCAAGUUGGGCGACUCCAACCUUGUGUUGGAGAGCGGCGAACGGCUGAGUAACACGUAGGAACCUGCCCCUAAGUAAAGAAUACCCCAUCGAAAGAUGGGGUAAUGCUCUAUACUCCCCUCCAAUUUGGAGGGGUAAAGGAUUUAACCGUCCGCUUAGGGAGGGGCCUGCGGCCUAUCAGGUAGUUGGGGGGGUAAUGGCCUACCAAGCCUAUGACGGGUAGCUGGCCUUAUGAGGGUGGUCAGCCAGAGGGGGACUGAGACACGGCCCCACUCCUACGGGAGGCAGCAAUCAAGAAUAGUCGGCAAUGGGCGAAAGCCUGACCGCGCGACGCCGCGUGCGGAAAGAAUCUCUUCGGAGUGUAAACCGCCGUAGUAGGGGAGGAAAUCCCUAAUUAUUUUGGGAAUGACAGUACCCUACUAGAGGGGGGCCGCUAACUGCGUGCCAGAAGCGUCGGUAAUA